ACACCAUGAUGUGGGCAUUUCCUUGAUAGCUCCUUGAACUUUUUCCAUGCCUUAUACAAUGAUUCCCCGUCGUCUUGAGAGUAGGAGUUAAUCUCAGUCAUGAGUUU
rfam:Helianthus annuus linkage group 17, whole genome shotgun sequence.